GAACUGAAGCAAAAGAUUUUAACUAUUUCUGGUGAUCUUAGUUAUGCUACUGGCGAUACAAAUUUAGCAAUUAAUCCAUUUCCCGAACAUGAAAGUCAACCAGUUCAACCGCCUCUAUGCUCUGAGACUAAUGACUCAGACAGCAUAUUGCGACAGCUUUAUGAUAUUCCUGAGCAAUCUGUGACCAUUCUCGAUGCUCAAAAUAUACAAUGGAAAG